ensembl:lncRNA
ACACAUGCCCCAGCCAUGCUUCUUUCAAAACACACCAAGAAGGUGGAGUCUGCAUAUUUGAAAACACUGUGUGGCCCACCAAUGUGCUCAGAAGGGGUUGGAGCAAGCAAGAGACAAUGGUGUGCCUCCAUCCAAUGCCACAUUUGUGCAAUGGUUAUCAAGAAGCAUGGGAUCCACUCAGCGUGGCAUGAUAGCACAGCAGCAGGUCUAGGAGGAAGCCCAUGCCCCAGUGAGCCCUUGACUCAAGAAGGCAUCCCAUGGCAGACAAGGUCUUUCUUCUCUUCUGGCAAAAGGGGGCUUGACUCCCUUUGUGCCCAUCCAGCAAGAUGCUUCUGAGACACAGUGGUUGUACUGUACCUCUCAUUCACCUGGAAUUAUAGAGAAGGCAGUGCUGAGAGUCUCAUCUCCUGCAUUUGCUCCUUGGAUGCCCUCCAGAACAUGUCAGCUUAGGCUCUUGGUUAGCAACACCAUCCUGCACAGAACAUCCCUCUCCUCCUGGAAAUGCUGAAGCAUUUCUCCAUGGUUUGGGCUGCUGUGACAGCUCAGAUACACUGGCUUACUAAACUGUCACAAAAUCAAACUAGUUUGAUGGGUUGAUGGUUGAACUAGAUGAUCUCAGUGGUCCCUUCCAACCUUAAUGAGUCUAUGAUUCUGAUUACUUUUGGGCUGUGCCAAGCAUUGCCUGUUUUCACCUGCAGUUUGCAGCCACUCAGACUGCAUGUUCUGUGAGGAUGGCUUUGCUGUGCCACCACUGCCACCCAAAAGGGUGACAGAUUUGUGUUGGCCUUUCAGUCCCUCUGAUCGUUUGUGUACUAUUUCUAAGGCACUUUAUCAUCUUGGUCAUUCCUUGGCUUUAUUUAGCAUUCAUUUCUCCCCAACUCAUUCCAAAAUCUAAUAUUAUUUGAUCUAUUGAGAUUGCUAAGUGUCAACAGAAUGUUCAUUUAAAUUUAUGAUUGGAAUGUUAAUAUUUUCCUGUAUUUGCUUUGUCAGAGGACUUUCUGGAGGAAUAGCCCCUAUUUGAUGAAAUGGAUUGCUGCAAGAUUAACAAAGGACUAUCAAAGAUGAUUAUUUGUAGCAGAAAUCCCAUUUUACCAGCAACUAGUCCUAAUGAACUCUGUAAUAAAAUAGAUAUGCUUGU